GUGUAAAUCAUUCAAGCAAUCAGAGAUGUGCAGAUCAUGCGGAGAAGUAUCAACAGGUGGUGCUCUAAGCCUUUCCCAUUGCACACCAAUUUCCAUGGCAACUGCUCUCCUUCCAUGUGGCGGGGACCCGGCUUUGAAAUGUGUCAGUCUGGGGAUCAUAGCAAAGCUCAGCAUCAUAGCAAGAUAACAUGAACCCAACAUGCCCAUUCUGCAGAACACAAGCAGAAAAUUUACAAAGCUUCACAUAUAAAUNNNNNNNNNNNNNGAUAGAAUCAACAGGCAAAGAACUGCUAUGCUUGAUAAUAUUAUUGUUAUUAGUAUCUUUU
rnacentral:misc_RNA from 1 species